AUUACCCAAUACCGACACGGUGAGGUAGUGACAAGAAAUAACAAUACAGGGCGAAUGUCUUGUAAUUGGAAUGAUGGUGACCCAAACCCUCACCAGAGUAGCAAUUGGAGGGCAAGUCUGGUGCCAGCAGCCGCGGUAAUUCCAGCUCCAAUAGCGUAUAUUAAACUUGUUGCAGUUAAAAAGCUCGUAGUUGUAUUUUUGCGUUAGCGGUUUGACCAUUUGGUUGGUUAUUUCGUUUUCGCUUUUGGGAAUUUCCCUUUUUACUUUGAGAAAAUUAGAGCGUUUCAAGCAGACUUUUGUCUUGAAUACUUCAGCAUGGAAUAAUAGAGUAGGACUUUGGUUCUAUUUUGUUGGUUAUUGAACCUUAGUAAUGGUUAAUAGGAACGGUUGGGGGCAUUCGUAUUUAAA
rnacentral:rRNA from 1 species